ensembl:lncRNA
UCGUUUCUAAAAAAAUAAAAAUAUAUACAAACGUCUUUUUUUUUUUUUUCUUUGGUGAGAAAGGGCCUCACCCAGUCACCCAGGUUGGAGUGCAGUGGUGCGAUCAUGGCUAACUGCAGCCUUUCCCUCCUGGGCCUCAAGUGAUCCUCCCAUCUAAGCCUCCCAAGUUGCUGGGACCACAGGCCCAUGCCACCAUGCCUGGCUAAUUUUUUUUAGAGAUGAGGUCUCACUUUGUUGCCCAGGCUGGUCUUGAACUUCUGGGCUCCAGCAGUCCUGCUACCCUGGCCUCCCAAAGUUGUGGGAUUAUAGGCAUGAGCCACUGCACCCGGCCAUAAUAUAUUUUCAAAAGGCUAUGCAUAUGCCAUCGUAUUCCUAUUCCUAUUAUUAUUUAACCACCGUCAUAGAGUAUUUAGGUUCUUUUCACUUUCUGUUGUGAAUAAUGCAAUGAUGAAUCUGAGUUCAUUAAGUGAAGAGUCCAGCUGCACACUGCAGGCCCAGUCUGGAUGUAGGUGCUCAGAUGGUUCUCUUUGAGACAGGCUUUAGCCCUUGGCUCUCAUUUUUAUGAUGCGUCUACAUGGCAUGAGGGACACAGAUCCUGCUAGGAUUCAAAUCCCACUUGUGUAUAACCUAGGGCAAUGUGCCACAUCUCUGCACAUCUGUACAUUGUAAGGAUUACAUGUUUAGUGUAAAUAAAACUCUUAAAACAAUAUCUGACACAUACUAAAUAGGAUAUAAUAGUAGUGCUUUCCUUUGCUGUUGUCAGUAUUAUUCUGAGUCAGUUUCAUUCUCACACAGAAUGAUGGCCGCUAGAAACUCAAGGCUUAUAUUCUGCUAGUUUUCUGAUCCCACUGGCAUGAGAUACUCUUGCCUAAUAGUUCCCGCUAAAGUCCAGGAGCUCACUGUUACUGGUCUGCCUUGGAUUAUGUGCACAUUCCUGAACCAACCACCAUAGCUAGGGGAUGGAAAAUACUGUUCCUGGUUACUUAAAUGUAGGUGACACUCCUCCCAUAUACCACAUGAACCUAAAGGAGUCCUGGAGGAGGCUGUUCACCACAGGAAACUGAGGUGUUCUUAGAAGAGUGGAUGCUGGCGGAUAGAUCUCUACUAGUUAGAGUCUACAUUUGCCUUACUCAUUUCAAAAGUCCACAUGCAGUCUCAUUUUACCAGUGAUCUAGUUUGAUAAGGACAUUCAUAAGUAACUGGAUGAUUCCUCAACAUUGCAGAUUUGAAAGGAUUAAAUAAAGUCAACAAAAUUUUGUUAUAUCAACAAUUUUGUUAUAUUAUUUUGAUAGAGUAACUUCUAAGUGGUUGUUAUCCAUAUUGUCAAAAUCUUAACAUGAAAACAGUACUUCACAUAUAUGCUAGCUGAUAGACUUGUGAGUAUUAGGGGGGCGGUAUUUUUUUCCAUAGACCCCAAUGACACUUAGUGAAAAUAGAUUUUUAUUAUUUUUCAUUUUUAUUUAACAUCUGCUACCUCUAGUAGGUGAUAAUCCCCGUGAGUUCAGAGACCAUGACUGUUUUGUUCAUCACUAGAUAGCCAGAGCCUUUUAGUUCUAGUGUAGCAAUAGAAACGUUUUAUUAGCUGAAUAAACCUAAGGUCACAGAUAGGGUUCUGCAGAAGCUGGCACUGAAAGCGGUUUGAAGUACAAGAGAUUUUUAUGUAUAACUCUCAGGGAUGCAUGCCUGUGAAGGGAAAGAGCAAAGAAGCAGGAAUAGGCAGAAGAAAUGGGAGUGCUCUAAAGCAGGCCUGAAAAGAGUUGGCCAACCCAGAGGGGAGCUCUGAGCUAGUGUCAUCUGUCAGAAUGUUUAAAUUAGGCCAAAGUAAAUAGGCCUUUUUACCUACACUUCUAUCAGUCACUGGGUGUGGGCAGCUCUGGGAAGGUUGUGAUCUCAAGCAUGGCAGCUCUGUCGCGGAAGCAUAUCCAGCAGCUGGAGGCAGUCCACUGACCACACUCCAUAGCUGGGCACUAUGUCCAUCCUUGCAGAAGGAGCUGGGUGGCAUAUCUUGGUGUGUACCACAUCUAAUACUGUCCAUUUUUUCCUUUAUAGUUUCCUUUUUUUUUUUUUUUUCUUGCAUAUAGUACGCUUAACAAACAACACACUAAUGCCAGGUAGUGUUCAGUUUAUAAACAAUAGAUUUAUGACUGGCUGACACACCCAGGUGUCUCUUGAGUAUCUCUGCCCCACUGCAGAUACCAGACUUCCUGGCCAAGUUGCUAUGUCAGCCCCCAGGAACUCUAUUCAGUCUCUGCCUCUCUGGACACUGCCAGAAGAGUUGCUCUACCUCUGGUGCAACUGUUUCUACUCCCCAGCAGCCUCCAGGCUCAAGCUUUAGGAAAACUGGGUGGGAUUUAGCAACAUGAUAUGUUUCCAUGUUAGCCUCAAGUAGGUAACCAUCGGUUACAAAUGUUCUUCCUUGGGAAAAUAAAAACAUUUACGCUUAACAUUUUUGUUUUCUCUCCCAUGCACUUGCUCUCAAAUCAAGCUUGCUACUUUUGUAUUUAAAGUACCCAAGCGACUUCAGUGUUCAUAUCUAAAUUACUCAGAUAUCAAUCAGAGCUCACAUAAGGUAUGUCCUACUACUUUGCUCUCAGCUCCCCUGCUUUCAGUAUUUAGUGACUGGAUUUGGGACAAGUUUAUUUAACUUCUUUAAGAUUCAAUUUGUUCACCUAUGAAAUGGACAUUCAGUGAUAUCUACCUCUUAGAAUUCUAAUGGGAAUUAAAUAAAGCAUUCUCUCAAAAAAUAUCUGUUGAGCCCUUGCAAACAUUCUUUUUCUGUACUCAGGGAAUGCCUUCAUGAAUACCACAAAACCCCUGCUGUCGUGGGGUUUACAUUCUUAGAGGGAUGAUAAAGGUAAUUUCAAAUGUUAGCAGUACUCUGAAGAAAAUAGGCUGAGAAAUGGGGAGUGAAAGGGGUUGCUGUAUUGAAUUGUGUGCUUGUGGAAUGCCUCUCUGAGGUGAAAUUUAAAAAGAAAUCUGAAGGAAACAGGGAGAAAGCCAAGCAGAAAAGGGGUGCUAGGAUAAGGAAAUGGCUGGCGCCCGAUCUCUGAGAUGAGAGUCUGUUACCUCUUUGAGGAACCGCAAAAAAUCCCAGUGAACCAGAAAGAGACUGGAAAUGAGGUAGGCGAGGUGAGGUCAUGCAAGCCAAGGGGACAAUACCUGAAUUUAUUCCAGGUCUGAGGAGGCCAGAGGAAGAUUUUAAGCAGAGAUGUGACAUGAUCAGAUUUACAUUUUUAAGGGAUCACUCUGUAUAAUUUGUGCAGAGGUAUGAGUCAAAGCAAGAAAACAGGUCAAAGGCUAUAGCUGAUAGUCAACAUGAGCCAUGAUUGUUACUCCCAUUAACAGUAUCACUGAAAUGGUCUGCAAUCUGAAAUAAAGCUUGAAGAAACCUAAGUACAUUUUAAUAGAUUCUAUCACCAAAACUAUACUUGUGGGAGUUUCUCAAGUCCCCAGUUAGAGGCUGCUUUAUUUUGAGUAUAAUUCUAAACAAUUUUCACCAACAGAUUAAAAAUAACAGACAAAAGAGAAGAGGAAAACUGGUAAAAGCAAGCAUGGUUUACCAUAACAAGCAAUAAUGAGCAACUUGAUAUCAAAAAAGAAAAACUUAAAAAAGACUUUAAUCUGGUAUCAUUUAGAGUAGGGACACACAGGCUCUGAGGACUAACCGUGAAUGGUAAUUGUGGUUUUAAAAAAUGACCUUAGAUCAUCAACGAAAUCUACCCUAUAUUCUGUAUGAUUUGGUUAAGAAGGCAGAGAAAUUAGUAUUGCUCUGUUUGAGAAGCCUUCAAAAUGGGUUGGCACUUAGAGGCAAAAGUUUGAUUUAUUUGAAACAUUCAAUUUUAGCAAAAACAUUCAGUAAGUGUUACUGUUUUAAGACAAGAUAUUUUCAGCAAGAAAACAGUUGUAAACAUGCUUUUUAGCCAAACCAAUUGGCCAUGUUGUCUAAAGAACUGAUGACCCGUGGUCCUCUGCAGCUAGAACUACUAUGCAGUGUACAUUUAUACUCAUCACGACAAAUAAGUUAGCAAAUAUUUUUCUUUGGUAGAAAAGUAAUUUCAGUCUGGGCAUGGUGGCUCACACCUGCAAUCCCAGCACUUUGGGAGGCCAAGGCAGGUGGGUCACUUCAGACCAGAAGUUGAAGACCAACUUGGCCAACAUGGCAAAACCCCAUCUCUACGAAAAAAAAAAAAAAGAAAAAAAA